AAUGAUGGCCUUGCAGUGGAUGGAGAUAUACUUGGUGAUGGAGUUUUAGGUGACUUACUAGUAAACACCAUUUUUGAUGAGAUAAUUGAUGGUCGAUCUUCAUUCAAUAAUCUUGCCAGCAGGCUUUCUACAAUAUUGGUCACUGAUUGGCCAAUUUGAUCAGAAUGAAUGACUAACAGUUUCACCAACACCAUGAAAACCACCAGUAACUACAGCUAUGUUCUUCAACUGAUUUAAAUGUAAACCUACAGACCUUAAAACAAAUAUUACAACAACACUGAUUUAUAGAAGAUAUCAAAAUUAAUUAAUGGAAAUUGUUGAAAUAUAUGUCAUCAUCUCACUAAUCUAAAUAACACAUCAAAAUCUCACCGAUGUAAAAUAUAAAGUUCAAAAUGAUCGGAUUUUAAACAA